AAUUGCGACCCCAGUCAGGCG
rnacentral:rRNA from 2 species